AAGCCCCUUCUCUACAGAGCGCGGGGAAGACAAGGUGACUAGAGGGUCUCCAGGCAGCGUCUCUUAGAAGAACCAACCAAUAAGGAACGACAAGGGGGCGCGCGGGGAAAAAAGGCUCGACACGGCUUCUGCUUCCAGAGUUACCAUGUUCCGAGGCCGCAAAAGUUUCUUGGGUUUUAAAGACCCCGCCCGCAGUCCUCUCAGUGACCAGCGAUGUGGCUCCCAGCUAUCCUCCCAUACCAGUGAGUUCACUAAGGCCUCGAGGAUUCAGCUGCCCAGCGUGAUGGAGCUGCUGCAGGGACACUGCGCAUACACUCAGGACACAGUGACUUUUGAAGAGUGGAUCCAGGGCUGAGGACCACACCCUCAUCUGCAUCUCAUCUGCAUCUCAGUUGCAUAACACCCUGCAGGGCAGAAGGUGGCCUGGUCUUCUCCUCCAUGACUAAACCCAUCAUGGCCUGGGACCAUCCCAACUCAGGUGGACCACAGCCACCCUGUGCUCCCAGAAGUCACAGUCUGCACAGUGGCAAUGGACCCACACUGGGACACACAGGCACGAAGUGCCUGCAUCCAAAUGCAGGCAGGCACACACGUGAACACACACUAGACACACGCAUGCACGUCCACCACACAGAGCUCAUUGCCGUUCACACCACAGGCACCUAUAAUCACACGGUCCCGCAGGGUGGUGGCUGAAAGCAAGAAUCGUACAACCAGUGGCCUGGCUUCAAAUGCCAGUUCUGACACUUAAGAGCUGUGUGACCUUGAACAUGUGGCUGAACACCUCAGGACUUCAAUGUCCUCUUCUGUCCAUAGGGAACGAUAACAGUACCACCCCUCCCAGUUACUAACAUAUGUAAAAAGUAUAGAACUAUGCCAGGCAGAUGGUGUGAUUAAGUGUGUGCUAUUGUUUUUUGUUUUGUUUUGCUUGUUUGUUUUACUGAGCAACUACUAUGUACCAGGCAUUGUUCUAGGCACAAGGGAUUCAGCAGUACACCACACAGAUAAAACUCCUGGCCCUCACAGGGAUUAAGUGCUACUGGGAAAAAAGACAGACUUUUAAUAAAAUAUAUUAUUUUUGUGUUAA